UACGUAGGGUGCGAGCGUUAAUCGGAAUUACUGGGCGUAAAGCGUGCGCAGGCGGUUUUGUAAGCCAGAUGUGAAAUCCCCGGGCUUAACCUGGGAAUGGCAUUUGGGACUGCAAGGCUGGAGUGUGGCAGAGGAGACUGGAAUUCCUGGUGUAGCAGUGAAAUGCGUAGAUAUCAGGAGGAAUACCGAUGGCGAAGGCAGGUCCCUGGGCUGACACUGACGCUCAUGCACGAAAGCGUGGGGAGCAAACAGG
rnacentral:rRNA from 1 species